rnacentral:lncRNA from 1 species
CGAUGUAUCUACUUUUUUUGAACAGUGUGUGCGUGCCUCUAUUCUAUUUUUGAGAGUCUUCAGUCCGUUUACGUAAUAUUAGUUGUGCUUUUCAUUCUCUUGGUGACAGAUAGGGCGCUAACGGAGUGUAGUGAGGUAAUUGCUGUAAGAAGUGAGUGUUAGUUCAUACUAUCUAUGUGAGUUCAAUGAUUUGCAACGUUUCGCAAGAGCAAGCGCGGAGAGUCGAGUCACCCUUAGCAUCCCGAACUAUAAGCAGAAGCAAAGGAAAGAAUCCGUUCAUAUGCAGUUGAAAGAUAAUAAACAGUAUAAUUAGCAGGAGCAGGAGCCAGAUUAGGAACUAGACAGAUCCAUGUUAUCAAGAAGAAAUGCAUUGCUAGGAUUUUGAUGAGUUGAAAUAAGUCUUUCCUAUUACACGGGUAGUGGAAGCCCUUUAGCGCUACUUGCCCAGUUGCUUGG